rnacentral:rRNA from 1 species
AGUGAACGCUGGCGGUAGGCCUAACACAUGCAAGUCGAACGGCAGCACAGAGGAGCUUGCUCCUUGGGUGGCGAGUGGCGGACGGGUGAGGAAUACAUCGGAAUCUACUCUGUCGUGGGGGAUAACGUAGGGAAACUUACGCUAAUACCGCAUACGACCUACGGGUGAAAGCAGCGGAUCUUCGGACCUUGCGCGAUUGAAUGAGCCGAUGUCGGCUUAGCUAGUUGGCGGGGUAAAGGCCCACCAAGGCGACGAUCCGUAGCUGGUCUGAGAGGAUGAUCAGCCACUCUGGACAGGGGACACGGGCCAGACUCCAACGAGAGGCAGCAGUAAGGAAUAAUGGACAAUGGGCGCAAGUCUGAUCCAGACAUACCGCGUGGGUGAAGAAGGCCGACGGGUUGUAAAACCCUGUUGUUGGGAAAGAAAUCCAUCUGGUUAAUACCCGGGUGGGAUGACGGUACCCAAAGAAUAAGCACCGGCUAACUUCGUGCCAGCCGCCGCGGUAA